CCAUUAAAAGCACAGGUUAGAUAACAUCACAACAGGGCUUUCUCACCAGUCUACUAAGCCCUCAUAGAAGAAAUGACCUGCUGAGUCUGUUUCUGUCAGUUUGUAUAUGGCUUCAGGAUUGAGCACUCUGCAAAAGACGACCACCAAGAAGGCUAAUUCUCCACCUGGGAGAGGCUAAUUCUCCUUCUUUCUGCUGUCAUCAAUUGCCUGUGCUUCCUGGUCUAGGGAUGGGAUCCCUUGAGAUCCUCCCCCUUUAGUGUUAACAUGUCUGUUGAUAUUGCCAACAGCCUGGUCUUGUUUACAUGGUCACUUGUAGGAGAGCCUGUUUAGAGCAAGCUCCUCUUACGAUCUUUCCACCCUCUCUCCCAUGUUCUUCACUGAAUCAUCAAUAGAGGAGCUGUGAUGUAGAUGUAUCCACUGGGACCAAGGCCCCCACAAACAUCCCUCUCUGCCUCGUAUCAAGUUGUGGGUUUCCGUGGUACUCCCCCUUUUCUGUAAAGAGAAAUGUCUCUGAUGGAGGGUGGUUGCUAUUUUUAUCAGUCCGUAUAAGGAUAAGAUUUAGAAUGUAAUAAUGAAUUAUGCUGGUGUAGCAAAGGGGACUCUUUGAUAACUUCCAUGACCUCAUUGGCUCCGGGAAGUUGGAUAGGUUUUCAGUACCAAGCAUGAUUUUCCUCUUAUAGAAUGGCCUUAAGUACAAUUAGUUGUUGGUUGACAUAGACAUGUAAGCACCAUUUUAUAUACAUAUUAUAUAUAUAUAUAUAUUCAUACACUUCACAGUUGUUCAUCUGGGUUCAUGGAUGGUUAAUAGGUGUUGUUGCUAGGUAGGAGUGUUUAAUUUCUUCCCUUCCUUGGAAACUUGCAUAGUGUUUUCUGGAACUGUGGAAGCUAGAUCUCAGAAAAGAGACUUUCAUGUCUGAUCCUGAUUGAAUCAUCUAAGUCCUAUGUUUUAAGUAUGUUGUGUCUUCCGCCACAGGAUCCCAACCUCAACCCCAGAGAUGCACCCAAGUGCUAGAUCAAUAAUCUAUAUUGUUUUGGGAGUCUCUUGACUCAUUGAAAGGAGGAUUUUUGUCCCGUGCAUUUUGUUUGUUUAUUUGUUAGUCUGGUUCCUUUAGGGACUAGAAAGACAAACACCACACCUUCUCUCUCAUCUGAAAUUCCUAGUUUCCAGUCCUCAGGUUCAGAGGUUCAGUCCAUCAUCAUCAUCAUCAUCAUCAUCAUCAUCAUCAUCAUCAUCAUCAUCAUCACCACCAUCAUCAUCACCAUCAAGGUAGGAACAUGGCAGCAUCCAGGCAGACAUGGUGCAGGCAGAGCUGAGAGUUCUACAUCUUUAUCUGAAGGUUGCUAGCAGAAUACUGACUUCCAGGCAGUUAGGAGGAUGUCUUACAGGUCACACCCACAGCGACACACUUAGUGCAACAAGACCACACCUACUUCAACAGGGCCACACCUUCUACUCAUGCCACACCCUGAGCCAAGCAUAUACAAACCAUCACAUUCCGCUCCCUGGCUCACAUAGACUUGUUCAAACACGUGAGUUUAUGGGGGCCAUAUCUAGCCACAGCAUAAUAAAAAAUAUAUCUAGUCUAACUUCCAAAGUCUCCAUAGUUUAUAGCAGUCUCAACAAUGUUAAAAGUCCAAAGAUCAAAGUCUCUUCUGAGACUCAUCCAAUCAUUUAACUGUAAUCUCCAAAGCAAGACAGGGAACCAGCUGGGCAAACUCCACUCUCUGCAUCUCCAUAGCUGAUGUCAAAUCGGUCUUCAGAUCUCCAACUCCUUUUCAACUUUGUUGACUGCAACAAAAUUCUUUCUCCUGGGCCAGUUCCACUUCCUAUUAGCAGCUUUCCUCAGCAGAUAUCCCAUGGUUCUGGCAUCUCAAACAUCUUGGGGUCUCCAAGGCAGCUUCAAUGUUACAGCUUCUUGUUCCAGUGUCUGGGAUCCACACAUGAUCUUCUGGGCUCCUCCAAAGGGCUAGCAUCACUUCUCCAGCUCUGCCUUCUGUAGCUCAGGGUGAUCCACUCCACUGCUGCUGCUGUUCUUGGUGGUCAUUCCAUGGUACUGGCAUCUCCAAUAUGCUGGGGUCUUCCACUGAAGCUAGGCUUCACCAAUAGCCUCUCAUAGACUCUCAUCAUGGUGCCAAGCCUCAGCUCCUUUGCAUGAACCUCUCAGUCUUGGGCCAUCAGCUGCAACUGAGGCUGCAACUUCACCAGUGGCCUUCCAUGGCCUCUCACAGUGCCCUGCCUCAGCUGCUCUUCAUGAUGCCUUCAUGCCUUCAAAACCAGUACCACCUGGAUGACUCUUACACAUUACCAAGUACAGCUGCAGCACAAGGGAAGUGGUGUUGUGGACAGGAUGAAAAAAGCGGAAGCCGGAGGCCAAUAAAUGGACAGAAAUAAUGUGUUGAGAGACUGGCACGAUAAGAAAUUUCUGAAAGGACAAAGGAGGAUCCCUAUGGAGAAUG